GCAUGCGCGACUGAACGAAUCACUCCCUGAGACGACUCGUUCUUCCCGAGUCACAUUAAAGAUUCGUUCAAAAUGAACGAAUCGUUCAAGAACGACCCAUCACUAGUGUCAGUGUGCCGCUGCUGCUCGGCUUCUGCAGUCGCUCCUCAAGUAAUGACUUUUAUAUGUAUUAUCUGAGUGUUAAAUUCAUAUUUUGAGUGAGUUUGUGUUGUGGGAUGACGAUUGAGAACGAAUAAACGCGAAUAUGGACACUUCUACCAGCAGCUAACAGACAAGCAAACUGCAAAAGAGAGGACCUGAACGCAUGAUCCUUGGAGAAGAACACUGGAUGCAAACCAGGAUUUUGGAUCAGCUGUGAAGAUUUUGUAUGGAGCUGAAGUUUUGAAAAUCUUCUACCAUAUGAUCUUCAGAGGAACUAAUCCAGCUGAUUACUGGCAAUUUGGAGGAGAACUGCUCUUUAUCUGCUGUGUCUGUCACUUCUGGCCAUGGACCUUUUGUUGACUAAAUACACACUCCCAGAUGCAGAACUGAGUUCAGAAACUCUUAUUGGCGUUUCUAAACAUCUGGGCAACUUGAAGUACCAAGUGUGGGAGAAGAUGAAGGACAUCUGCCCUCACUGAAUCGUGUGGUGUUGGGGAGCGUGGGAUACAAUUAUGAAGUUCACACGUGGGAAAUUGAGAUGGGAAACAGUCGCCAUUGGAGCCUUGGAGUGUGUUUUGGAUUGGAGGGAAAACCUACCACACAGUCUUUAACCCCAGAAAAUGGCUUCUGGGGCCUCAGACGUGAUGGAGACGAAUUGAUGACCGCUGGGAUGUCAAGAUUAAAGAUGAAGGUAAAGCCAAAGGUAGUGAGAGUAAAGCUUGAGUAUGUUUAUCAGGAUGCUCAUGUUUAUCAGAAACGUUGGAAGAAGGUGAAGUUUUUUGAUGCCGGAGUGAUUCCCUUAUCAAGGAAUUUUAUGUGCCAUUGACGAAGAAACUCUUUCCCUUUGUGAUCCCAGAAGAGCCCUCCGUCCCUCUGCGUGUUGUCCCAGCAAAUGUUAUUCUGACGGUUGAACAGAAACUAUCUUUCCUUGAGAGGCAUUUCACUAUUAUUUUAAUCUGUAUGUGUUUUGUUGUACUUAUAAUAUACCUGAUUCUGUUAUGGUGGAUUGACAAACAGAUGACCAUCAGGGAGAAGAUAUAAUGGGCUGUUCAGGUAUGAAGUAUUGUGUCUUAAGCCCAAAGUAUACUUACAUUUUUUAUUUAUUUUUUAAUGGCUAUGCUAGCACACACGCAUAGUCUUGCAGGCAGCCUUUCAAAGUAUAUUCUGUGCAGUUGCCGCAUGUGCAUCACGACGACAUAUGUGGUAUGUGUAUAUGUUUCUUUGUACAUAUAUUGGUAUUCAUAUACACAUCUAUUGCAAGAUAUUUCCACCUCUGUCAAGAAUAUGUCUUUGUCCAGUGUUUGGGCAAUCCUUCACCACAAGUUAUAACCCAUAUAGGUAUCUUGUUAAUAUUUGAUGCAAGAGCUGUACAAAUACAGGCACUUUGUAAUGUCCUCACACAAACUUUCAUCCAUGUAGGCAUCCAUUGUGACUGCGGCUGUAGCUUGCACAUGUUGUGGUCUCUUCCAUUUAUGUAGUUCUCUCUGACUACAUUGUGAAUCAAUGUCCCUGAGGCAUUGUUGCCAUCUUGUGGACAAAGUCAAAUAAAGUCAAAAUUAUUGCAAAAUAUGAAUUAACAUGACUGAAUGAAGCUGAUUAAUUGUGUUGUAGCAGUGAAAGGAUAGCAUUUAAGCAUC